GCUUUGGUGGCUCAGUUGGAAGAGCGUGAGACUCUUAAUCUCAGGGCCAUGAGUUCGAGCCCUAUGUUGGGUA
rnacentral:tRNA from 1 species